UACGAAGGGGGCUAGCGUUGUUCGGAUUUACUGGGCGUAAAGCGCACGUAGGCGGUUCGUUAAGUCGGGGGUGAAAUCCUGGAGCUCAACUCCAGAACUGCCUUCGAUACUGGCGAUCUUGAGUCCGGAAGAGGUGAGUGGAACUCCUAGUGUAGAGGUGAAAUUCGUAGAUAUUCGCAAGAACACCAGUGGCGAAGGCGGCUCACUGGCCCGAUACUGACGCUGAGGCACGAAAGCGUGGGGAGCAAACAGG
rnacentral:rRNA from 1 species